AUUUUGUACUAUAACUAGAAUUUGGAUUCCUUCUAUUUCCUCUAAAAACGCAUGAAACUUGAGAGGCCUUUUGGAUUUGGUGGAAUGAGUCUUUACUUCUUUAUAUUUAAUUCAAACGGUGUCUCGUCUCGUGUUUUCGUGUGUGUGUGGUUUCUGUUUCGUCUGAGUUCUUCCCUUUUGAAUUAGAAGAUUCUGAAAACCCUAGCUUUUGUUCUUAAAGGUCUGAUCGAUCGAUCGAUACAGAUAGAAAGAGAGAGGGAGUGAGGGGAAGAUGGAGAGGAUUGUUGGGGAGAAGUAUAAGUUAGGUCGGAAGAUCGGUAGUGGAUCUUUUGGAGAAAUCUAUCUUGCGACGCAUAUCGAAACAUACGAGAUCGUCGCAGUAAAGAUCGAAAACAGCAAGACAAAACAUCCACAGCUGCUUUAUGAAGCCAAACUAUAUAACAUCCUUCAGGGAGGAAGUGGUAUUGCUAGUAUAAAAUGGUGUGGAGUAGAUGGGGAGGAUAAUGCCCUUGUCAUGGACUUGUUGGGACCAAGUCUUGAAGAUUUGUUUGUCUACUGUGGAAGGAAAUUCUCGCUUAAGACGGUCUUAAUUCUGGCGGAUCAGAUGAUUACAAGAAUCGAGUAUUUGCAUUCUAAAGGGUUUUUGCAUAGAGACAUUAAACCUGAUAACUUCCUCAUGGGUCUUGGUCGGAAAGCUAACCAGGUUUAUAUCAUUGAUUUUGGACUUGCUAAAAGAUAUAGGGACUCCACAACUAAUCGUCAUAUCCCUUACAGGGAGAAUAAGAACUUGACUGGGACUGCCCGUUAUGCCAGCUGUAAUACUCAUUUGGGUAUUGAGCAAAGCCGGCGGGAUGAUUUGGAGUCUCUUGGUUAUGUUUUGUUGUAUUUUUUGAGUGGAAGCCUUCCUUGGCAGGGUCUAAAAGCUGCCACAAAAAAACAAAAAUAUGACAAAAUAUGUGAGAAGAAAUUAGCAACUCCUAUUGAAGUUCUGUGCAAGACUUAUCCUGUGGAGUUUGCAUCAUACUUCCAUUACUGCCAUUCUCUGACAUUUGAUCAACGGCCUGAUUAUAGAUUCUUGAAGCGUUUAUUCAGUGACUUGUUUACUCGUGAAGGAUAUGAGUUUGAUUAUGUAUUUGACUGGACCAUCCUGAAGUAUCAGCAAGCCCAAAAGACAAAGUCCCAGCCCCGAAUUUCUCCACUUAAUGGUGGGAACAGCAGUCGAGCAAUGCCUAUGGAUGUUGACAAGAAUCGAGGAGGAAACAAUGUAUCUCAUUCAGCUGAUGUUACAGAGAGAGUAAUAUCAAGUAAUGCUGCACAUCCUGGGGUUCGCAUGCAAUUUAAACCAUCAACAGAGAAGAAUCCUACUACUGGAAAUAACACUCUGAGUUACUUUCCUGAGAAGGUCCAAAUGCCAUCUACUUCAUUUGCUCUGCCAGGUGCCUCCAAGAGAAAUGCUCCAAAACCGAUGGUGCCAGCUGAAGCUGCACAUUUUGGUCAUGGGUUUGGCAGCAAAAUUGGCCCUUCAAGCAGUUGGCUUCCUUCGUUGCAACGCAAUUCCUCUGCCAAGUGAUUGAGAACAAGAUUCAUUGAAGUAAAGCUAACCCGGAGAACAUUUACAGAAGCUGUGGAACUGCGACAAGUUAUUGUUUCUCAUGUCCUCAUUUGGAGACCAACUUGCAUAUUGUAUCUUUCUUAAGUUUUAACCUAGGUACUCGAGUUCUCAGGAUCUGAAUAAAACACAAUAAUCUAGUGUUUCAGGUGCCAAUAUUUCAUGGUUGCUUCAUGGCACUUGUGUCAGGGAAAGAUAUUAUGGCUGGUUCAAAUAGCAGAAGAGCAAACAUUUGUGAAGAGAACAGAACAACUGGGAUAAAAUCGAACUUCACCUGAAGGAAAUAUAUGGAUCUUGAGGGGGUCAGAAUUUGGAGGAUAGAAAUAUUUUAAGGGCCUCUUCAAUCCACCAUGCUAUCAGAUGGUGGUAUGGUAAAUGGAGUUGAACUCCAGAAAGAUGCCACUGGUCCAUAUAUUUCUUACUGCAAAGGAAGAAACAAUGCCAUUAUUGAACUGGUGAGAAAGAUACUGACUUGAUGGGUGCUGGUAUUCCGAAGUGGCAAGCUUCUUGUGACACCGCAAGUAAUUAUUCCUAAGAAUCACAAAAGAAGUCCGACUUUAGGUGGAAAAUAUCUGGGGUUUAGCUAAUGAUGGUAUGGUGGGAAAAUGAAUGAAACGUGAAAGGCAGUAGUUGGCUGGAAAUACUGAAAAAGCUUACCAUAUGAUGGAGCAAUCUAUGGUAGGAUAUGCUUUUGUUUUUUAUUUUUCUGGCUGUGCAUGAAAGUGUCAUUUUCAAGAUUGAGGCUAAAUAUGCACUCUUUUGGGAUGAAAUUGUUGGCAGAGUAAUCUUUGGGAGUGUUCUCGACCAAAAAAAUCUUUGGGAGUGAUGGUGUGUGUAGACUCGCAAUUGUUGAUUAGUAGUAAUGCUAUGGAAUUUUUAAGGAGGAAUUAGAAGGGAUUGCAUGGCCCUGUUGGGAAUUGAGAAAGAGAUCAAAUGAAAGCUCAUAUGGCUCGGCGAUUGAUAUGUUGAUCCAAAAACUCAUGAUUCAAUAUUGCAGGGUGUGAUGAGAUUGGUGGACAACAUGGAUUUCGUGGAGAUUUGCGUUGCUAUUGGUGUUGCAUCAAAGCAUAGAAAAUUUAGCCCGUUAUGUUUUGGUGUGGACACGAAGUGAAAUUGUUUUAAUAAUUUCAGUUGAAAAACUUCAAAAGGCUGUUGGCGGCGAAGGCAAGGAUGUGGGUUUGAUUUUCAUUACUACGGAAGAUGUCGAGUACUCUAUUUCCCCUCCCACGCACCCACCCCCUUUCUUUUUUUAGUUUUUAUUUUUAUUUUUCCGAUUCUCUAAUGCAUAUUGCCUUGGCAGGCAUGGAAACGUGGACCUUAUCUCAUAACUCAUAUGCAUCAUGUGAUAUGAAUCCUAAUACUGGGAAUUGAGGAUUAUCAGUUUGGGUACUUGGGACUUGAGGAUUAUAUGGGACAGUCAGUUGGGUCAUGGGUAGCCAACACAGCCUUCUCAUUUGUUGACCCAACUUUAGCAAGUAUCGUUAAGUACCAUAUUUUCUACCCAGUUGCUAGCUAGCUAAAAAAAGAAAAAAAAAAAAAAAAAAAAAAAAAAAUUUCUGUUGUAUAUUCGGUAUUUGAGGUAUUGUUCUAGGAUAUUGGUCUUGUUCUGGUUCCCAAUCGAUUGCAAUAUAGUAAAGUAGAAAUUGAUGAUUUUUGUUCUGAUGAUCACUCCAUAACAGAAGUUUAAGUGACAGAAUUUUGUUUCCAGGAAUGUUUUAUCAAUUUAUUACAUUUGUAUC